rnacentral:pre_miRNA from 1 species
GCUGGUUUCACGUGGUGGCUUAGACUGUGAUGUUCCUUCUCUAGCACCAUAUGAAAUCGGUGUC